ACAUGCACUGCAUCACUGGUACAAACACCUCAAUGGACAACAGUCAU
rnacentral:lncRNA from 1 species